UUUAUUGGAGAGUUUGAUCCUGGCUCAGGAUGAACGCUGGCGGCGUGCCUAAUACAUGCAAGUCGAGCGAAUGGAUUAAGAGCUUGCUCUUAUGAAGUUAGCGGCGGACGGGUGAGUAACACGUGGGUAACCUGCCCAUAAGACUGGGAUAACGCCGGGUAACCGGGGAUAAUACCGGAUAACAUUUUGAACUGCAU
rnacentral:rRNA from 1 species